GAUGAACGCUGGCGGCGUGCCUAAUACAUGCAAGUCGAGCGAACAGACGAGGAGCUUGCUCCUUCGACGUUAGCGGCGGACGGGUGAGUAACACGUAGGUAACCUACCUAUAAGACUGGGAUAACUUCGGGAAACCGGAGCUAAUACCGGAUAAUAUUUCGAACCGCAUGGUUCGAUAGUGAAAGAUGGCUUUGCUAUCACUUAUAGAUGGACCUGCGCCGUAUUAGCUAGUUGGUAAGGUAACGGCUUACCAAGGCAACGAUACGUAGCCGACCUGAGAGGGUGAUCGGCCACACUGGAACUGAGACACGGUCCAGACUCCUACGGGAGGCAGCAGUAGGGAAUCUUCCGCAAUGGGCGAAAGCCUGACGGAGCAACGCCGCGUGAGUGAUGAAGGUCUUCGGCUCGUAAAACUCUGUUAUUAGGGAAGAACAAACGUGUAAGUAACUGGGCACGUCUUGACGGUACCUAAUCAGAAAGCCACGGCUAACUACGUG
rnacentral:rRNA from 1 species